GAUGAACGCUGGCGGCGUGCUUAACACAUGCAAGUCGAACGGAAAGGCUCCUGCCUGCAGGGGUACUCGAGUGGCGAACGGGUGAGUAACACGUGGGUGAUCUGCCCUGUACUUCGGGAUAAGCUUGGGAAACUGGGUCUAAUACCGGAUAUGACAAUCUCUUGGAUGGGGUUGUGGAAAGCUUUUGCGGUAUGGGAUGAGCUCGCGGCCUAUCAGCUUGUUGGUGGGGUAAUGGCCUACCAAGGCGUCGACGGGUAGCCGGCCUGAGAGGGUGUACGGCCACAUUGGGACUGAGAUACGGCCCAGACUCCUACGGGAGGCAGCAGUGGGAAUAUUGCACAAUGGGCGCAAGCCUGAUGCAGCGACGCCGCGUGGGGGAUGACGGCCUUCGGGUUGUAAACUCCUUUCGCAACCGACGAAGCUUUUGUGACGGUAGGUUGAGAAGAAGCACCGGCUAACUACGUG
rnacentral:rRNA from 1 species